GCAGGGAGUCAGCAGUUGAGGCUGCAUUUGGUGCAGGAAUGACUGGAGGCCGGGAGGAGAAACCCAGAGCUGCGAUGCUCCGGGCACCAGCAGCUCCGCAUGCAGGGUCAGCCUCUGCUCCCAGGGAGAAGCAAUGGGGGCUCUUCCAACCCAAAAGAAGCUGAGGAGCAGCAGGAAGUCCUGCUUCUACAAGGAAGGAAGCCCGGAGAUGACACAGGGGAGAGCUGUGCCGCGUGGCUGCAGGGGGACAUCAGCGGUGCCACAUCUGCUCCUCUCCGCUCCGUUCCGUCCUUGCUGUUCAAUGAUUUUCUUUCCUUUUCUUUUUUUUCUUUUUUUCUUUUUUUUUCCUGCCUCGUUAUUUCACCACGGGGAGAAAUUAAACGCUCCAGAUGGUAA